rnacentral:rRNA from 1 species
UACGUAGGGUGCGAGCGUUAAUCGGAAUUACUGGGCGCAAAGCGUGCGCAGGCGGUUUUGUAAGCCAGAUGUGAAAUCCCCGGGCUUAACCUGGGAAUGGCAUUUGGGACUGCAAGGCUGGAGUUUGGCAGAGGAGACUGGAAUUCCCGGUGUAGCAGUGAAAUGCGUAGAUUUCGGGAGGAACACCCGUAGCGAAGGCGGCACUCUGGGCCGGUACUGACGCUGAGGAGCGAAAGCGUGGGGAGCAAACAGG